GGUUGGCCCAGGGUGGGAGGAAGAUGGCGAGAUCCCAACUAAGCUACAGUGGUUGUGGAGUCUGCGGUGCUUGUGGUGUCCGGUGCGGUGCCUACAGUCCUCAGCAUCAGCUAGGAAGCAUCUGUUGGCGGAGGUGCCCAGUCAGGGUGCCAGGUGAUCCAUCACAGCGCUCAAUGGAUGCCUUCCCCAGUGUAAUUGGGGGGCUAUGGAUCCCUCUUCGCUGUUUGCAGGAUAGCAGGAAAUCAGGAUUCCAGAUGGAAGUAUAAAAU